rnacentral:lncRNA from 1 species
UAAUGAAUAAUUAGGAAGUUAAUGUCACCAUGCACUGUCAUGGGAAAGGUUCUGAAAGUCUAUAAAAGAUGAAACAGGACUUUAACCUUUGAUCCUAGAGGUAAUAGGAAGCCACUGGAGCUUAUUGAACAUGGAGUACAUGAUAUGGCCAGACUUAAUCCUUAGGAAUAUUGCUUUGAUGGAAAACCUCCUCUUGUCCCAAAUAUAUGAGUCUCUGCUUCUCAAUUCAUACAGCAAAAUACAUACUGAAUAAGAAUAAAUAAAACUAAAUGCUAUUAAUAGUCACCCCAUCUCUUCCUUUCAAAGGGUAAGCAUAUCAUCCAUCAUUUUCAAGCUUUUCUUGUAUUGUAUAUAUCUCUGUCUAGU